CAGCAGCCACGGUAAUACGAAGGGGGCUAGCGUUGCUCGGAAUGACUGGGCGUAAAGGGCGCGUAGGCGGCGAUCAAAGUCAGGCGUGAAAUUCCUGGGCUCAACCUGGGGGCUGCGCUUGAUACUGGGUUGCUUGAGUGGGGAAGAGGGUCGUGGAAUUCCCAGUGUAGAGGUGAAAUUCGUAGAUAUUGGGAAGAACACCGGUGGCGAAGGCGGCGACCUGGUCCUUUACUGACGCUGAGGCGCGAAAGCGUGGGGAGCAAACAGGAUUAGAUACCCGAGUAGUCCUGUCUCUUAUACA
rnacentral:rRNA from 1 species